rnacentral:rRNA from 1 species
UACGUAGGGGGCAAGCGUUGUCCGGAUUUAUUGGGCGUAAAGAGCGUGUAGGCGGUUUGGUAGGUCCGCUGUGAAAACCCGAGGCUCAACCUCGGGACGUCGGCGGAAACCAUCUGGCUAGAGGCCGGAAGAGGAGAGUGGAAUUCCCGGUGUAGCGGUGAAAUGCGCAGAUAUCGGGAAGAACACCCGUGGCGAAGGCGGCUCUCUGGGACGGUACUGACGCUGAGACGCGAAAGCGUGGGGAGCGAACAGG